rnacentral:rRNA from 1 species
AGAGCGAACGCUGGCGGCAGGCCUAACACAUGCAAGUCGAGCGCCCCGCAAGGGGAGCGGCAGACGGGAGAGUAACACGUGGGAACGUACCCUUUGGUUCGGAACAACCCAGGGAAACUUGGGCUAAUACCGAAUAAGCCCUUACGGGGAAAGAUUUAUCGCCAAAGGAUCGGCCCGCGUCUGAUUAGCUAGUUGGUGAGGUAACGGCUCACCAAGGCGACGAUCAGUAGCUGGUCUGAGAGGAUGAUCAGCCUCACUGGGACUGAGACACGGCCCAGACUCCUACGGGAGGCAGCAGUCGGGAAUUUUGCGCAAUGGACGAAAGUCUGACGCAGCAACGCCGCGUGAGGGAUGAAGGCCUUCGGGUGUAAACCUCUUUAUCAGGGAAGAUAAUGACGGUACCUGAUGAAUAAGUCACGGCUAACUACGUGCCAGCAGCCGC